UUUUUCAAUCUUAGAAUCAUACUUCAAAAUUGAUUUAAUAAAUGAUUUAUUAAAUUAUAUCCUAAAAACAUUAAAUAUUGCCUCAAGAAUGGAAAAUAAAAAAAAAAUAAUACCCAUUUACAAGAAAGGAAAUAAAAAAGAAUGCAAAACUAUAGAUAAAACUUCUUAUUAUGUUACAUUUAUAAGAUUUUUUAUUAGAGUUUUACAAAACAGAAUAAAGAGCAAAUAUGAAGACGGCCUAGAUAAGAAGAGCAAGCUGAUUUCAAGAAAAAUAAACAGUAGAUCUAAUAUUCAUCAUAUCUCAGAUAACAGAAUUAAAGUUGUAGUAGUUGUAGUAGUAGUAAUAAUGCUGUUGCUGUAUAGAUCUAAAGCAAGCUAGUGCUCACAUAAAAAAGCUAAUAACAAUACUAAAUCAUUUAAAUUUUAACAAAGAAUUGAAAAGAAACUAAAGCACAUGCACUAAAGCAUUUAAUGUAUAACAUAAAGAUAUAACUAUAAAUGAAUUCAAAAUAGGAAAAGACACAACACAUAUUUUUCUUCUUUUCACCUUGUUUGUGCAAUUUAUUUCUAGAUCAUAUUAUUAGAAAAGUUAUAGAAGUCAAAAAUAUUAUGGUAAACAAAUCAAA
rnacentral:lncRNA from 1 species